GGGAAACUGCCCGAUGGAGGGGGAUAACUACUGGAAACGGUAGCUAAUACCGCAUAACGUCGCAAGACCAAAGUGGGGGACCUUCGGGCCUCACACCAUCGGAUGUGCCCAGAUGGGAUUAGCUAGUAGGUGGGGUAAUGGCUCACCUAGGCGACGAUCCCUAGCUGGUCUGAGAGGAUGACCAGCCACACUGGAACUGAGACACGGUCCAGACUCCUACGGGAGGCAGCAGUGGGGAAUAUUGCACAAUGGGCGCAAGCCUGAUGCAGCCAUGCCGCGUGUAUGAAGAAGGCCUUCGGGUUGUAAAGUACUUUCAGCGGGGAGGAAGGCGGUGAGGUUAAUAACCUUGCCGAUUGACGUUACCCGCAGAAGAAGCACCGGCUAACUCCGUGCCAGCAGCCGCGGUAAUACGGAGGGUGCAAGCGUUAAUCGGAAUUACUGGGCGUAAAGCGCACGCAGGCGGUCUGUUAAGUCAGAUGUGAAAUCCCCGGGCUUAACCUGGGAACUGCAUUUGAAACUGGCAGGCUUGAGUCUCGUAGAGGGGGGUAGAAUUCCAGGUGUAGCGGUGAA
rnacentral:rRNA from 1 species